rnacentral:rRNA from 1 species
AGUGAACGCUGGCGGUAGGCCUAACACAUGCAAGUCGAACGGCAGCACAGUAAGAGCUUGCUCUUACGGGUGGCGAGUGGCGGACGGGUGAGGAAUACAUCGGAAUCUACUUUUUCGUGGGGGAUAACGUAGGGAAACUUACGCUAAUACCGCAUACGACCUACGGGUGAAAGCAGGGGAUCUUCGGACCUUUCGCGAUUGAAUGAGCCGAUGUCGGAUUAGCUAGUUGGCGGGGUAAAGGCCCACCAAGGCGACGAUCCGUAGCUGGUCUGAGAGGAUGAUCAGCCACACUGGAACUGAGACACGGUCCAGACUCCUACGGGAGGCAGCAGUGGGGAAUAUUGGACAAUGGGCGCAAGCCUGAUCCAGCCAUACCGCGUGGGUGAAGAAGGCCUUCGGGUUGUAAAGCCCUCUUGUUGGGAAAGAAAAGCAGCAGGUUAAUACCCCGCUGUUCUGACGGUACCCAAAGAAUAAGCACCGGCUAACUUCGUG